rnacentral:rRNA from 1 species
AGCGAACGCUGGCGGCGUGCCUAACACAUGCAAGUCGAGCGAGAAAGUCCCGCAAGGGGUAAGUACAGCGGCGAACGGGUGCGUAACACGUGGGCGAUCUGUCCUUAAGACCGGGAUAACCCAGCGAAAGUUGGGCUAAUACCGGAUAAGACCACAGGGAGAAAUCCCAGGGGCCAAAGGAUGCCUUCUUUCGAGGCUUCCACUUAGGGAGGAGCCCGCGGCCUAUCAGCUUGUUGGUAGGGUAACGGCCUACCAAGGCAAAGACGGGUAGCUGGUC